GAUGAACGCUAGCUACAGGCUUAACACAUGCAAGUCGAGGGGCAGCAUGGUCUUAGCUUGCUAAGGCCGAUGGCGACCGGCGCACGGGCGAGUAACACGUAUCCAACCUGCCGUCUACUCUUGGACAGCCUUCUGAAAGGAAGAUUAAUACAAGAUGGCAUCAUGAGUCCGCAUGUUCACAUGAUUAAAGGUAUUCCGGUAGACGAUGGGGAUGCGUUCCAUUAGAUAGUAGGCGGGGUAACGGCCCACCUAGUCUUCGAUGGAUAGGGGUUCUGAGAGGAAGGUCCCCCACAUUGGAACUGAGACACGGUCCAAACUCCUACGGGAGGCAGCAGUGAGGAAUAUUGGUCAAUGGGCGCAGGCCUGAACCAGCCAAGUAGCGUGAAGGAUGACUGCCCUAUGGGUUGUAAACUUCUUUUAUAAAGGAAUAAAGUCGGGUAUGUAUACCCGUUUGCAUGUACUUUAUGAAUAAGGAUCGGCUAACUCCGUG
rnacentral:rRNA from 1 species